rnacentral:rRNA from 1 species
ACGGAGGGGGCUAGCGUUGUUCGGAAUUACUGGGCGUAAAGCGCGCGUAGGCGGUUUUCCAAGUCGGGCGUGAAAGCCCCGGGCUCAACCCGGGAAAUGCGCUCGAAACUUGAAGACUGGAGGCCGGAAGAGGGUAGUGGAAUUCCCAGUGUAGAGGUGAAAUUCGUAGAUAUUGGGAAGAACACCAGUGGCGAAGGCGGCUAACUGGUCCAGAUCUGACGCUGAGGUGCGAAAGCGUGGGGAGCAAACAGGA